GUGCCAGCAGCCGCGGUAAUACGGAAGGUGCAAGCGUUAAUCGGAAUUACUGGGCGUAAAGCGCGCGUAGGUGGUUUGUUAAGUUGGAUGUGAAAGCCCUGGGCUCAACCUAGGAACUGCAUCCAAAACUAACUCACUAGAGUACGAUAGAGGGAGGUAGAAUUCAUAGUGUAGCGGUGGAAUGCGUAGAUAUUAUGAAGAAUACCAGUGGCGAAGGCGGCCUCCUGGAUCUGUACUGACACUGAGGUGCGAAAGCGUGGGUAGCGAACAGGAUUAGAUACCCUGGUAGUCCACGCCGUAAACGAUGACAACUAGCUGUUGGGAGACUAUGUCUUUCAGUGGCGCAGCUAACGCUUUAAGUUGUCCGCCUGGGGAGUACGGCCGCAAGGCUAAAACUCAAAUGAAUUGACGGGGACCCGCACAAGCGGUGGAGCAUGUGGUUUAAUUCGAUGCAACGCGAAAAACCUUACCUACUCUUGACAUACUUGGAGGCUCUUGUAAUGAGAGUGUGCCUUUUGGAACCAAGAUACAGGGUGCUGCAUGGCUGUCGUCAGCUCGUGUCGUGAGAUGUUCCGUUAAGUCGGAUAACGAGCGCAACCCUUACCCUUAUUUGCCAGCGAUUCGGUCGGGAACUAUAAGGGGACUGCCGGUGAUAAACCGGAGGAAAGUGAGGACGACGUCAAGUCAUCAUGGCCCUUACGAGUAGGGCUACACACGUGCUACAAUGGGA
rnacentral:rRNA from 1 species